AAUCAGAAUCAGAAUCAGAAUCAGAAUCAGAAUGGUGUUUAUUGCCAGGUGAAAGAGACGGGUGCAGCAGGUCCAUGGCCGCUCCGCUCAGACCCAGUCCGUUCAUCCCGUACGGGGCCUGUUUCAGAUAAGACAUCAUGCUAGAAGACCGGAGGGGAGACCGGAGUCUGGACGGUAUCCGGCGGGACGGUGCAGAUCUCCCGGUGUGAAGGUGGUCAGAUGUUCAGGUGAUCAGGUCUCCGGUGAUCAGGUCGACUCCUGAGACAUAAAGAGGCACCAUAGAUGGCCUCGGUAAAACUAAUCCUUUGACUGAAUUAAGGAGGUGAGAGAGGAAACUAAAUCUGAUCUCCUGGAAAAUAACUUCUGGAAUUAAACUGGACGAAUUAGAGGAAGAACAUGUUAAACAAAAUGUUGUUUUAUGGAGAAUUGAUCUGCAGCUUAACGUGUAUUGGAUAAAUAAAUAAAAAGGCCCAGAAGAAGCUUCAUGGACUAAAUGUUUGCUUGUGUGGAAAUGUACACGAACAUGUGAACAUUGUGAGGAAAGAAACUCCCAGCAGUUGAAUUAAUGUGAAAUAAAAAAGUGACACCAGG